GUUGGAGCGGUGAUGAGCAAUUUUUUGUGGACUAGAGUUUCUGAUACUACUUUUGUAGUAUUUGAAGACCAAACCCUUGGCUGUCUGAGCUCCUCA
rfam:Oryza rufipogon genomic scaffold, chr06